AAACUUUCAGCAAUGGAUGUCUUGGUUCGCGCAACGAUGAAGGACGCAGCGAAAUGCGAAACGCAAUGUGAAUUGCAGAAUUCAGUGAAUCAUUAGAUUUCUGAACGCAAAUGGCGCUGCGGGGACAUUCCCUGCAGCAUGUCUGUUUCAGUGUCUCU
rnacentral:rRNA from 1 species